GACGAACGCUGGCGGCGUGCUUAACACAUGCAAGUCGAGCGGUAAGGCCCUUUCGGGGGUACGACGAGCGGCGAACGGGUGAGUAACACGUGGGUGACCUGCCCUCCAGCUCUGGGAGUAAGCCUGGGAAACCGGGUCUAAUACUGGAUAUGACUCCAUGACGCAUGUUGUGGGGUGGAAAGCCUUGUGCGGCUGAGGAUGGGCCCGCGGCCUAUCAGCUUGUUGGUGGGGUGAGGCCUACCAAGGCGACGACGGGUAGCCGGCCUGAGAGGGCGACCGGCCACACUGGGACUGAGACACGGCCCAGACUCCUACGGGAGGCAGCAGUGGGGAAUCUUGCGCAAUGGGGCGAAAGCCUGACGCAGCGACGCCGCGUGAGGGAUGACGGCCUCGGUUGUAACGUACUUCUA
rnacentral:rRNA from 1 species